rnacentral:misc_RNA from 1 species
UUUCCGUAGGUGAACCUGCGGAAGGAUCAUUACUGAGUGAUUCCGGACUAGCGUCCGGGUUACCCGACCUUUUGUCACAAGCUGGCCGGGGCGCGCGAGCGUCAGCGGCACGGAUAUUUCGGCGGAAGAGGUGGCCUUUUUUGAGCUGCCCGCCGCCGGUGGUAUUUCUCAAUCUUUUGAAUUAUGAAGUCUGAACAAAGCAAAAAACGAAAAGCAAAACUUUCAACAACGGAUCUCUUGGCUCUGGCAUCGAUGAAGAACGCAGC